rnacentral:rRNA from 1 species
UACGGGGGGGGCAAGCGUUGUUCGGAAUUACUGGGCGUAAAGGGCUCGUAGGUGGCCAACUAAGUCGGACGUGAAAUCCCUCGGCUUAACCGGGGAACUGCGUCCGAUACUGGUUGGCUUGAGUUUGGGAGAGGGAUGCGGAAUUCCAGGUGUAGCGGUGAAAUGCGUAGAUAUCUGGAGGAAUACCGGUGGCGAAGGCGGCAUCCUGGACCGGCAUUGACGCUGAGGAGCGAAAGCCAGGGGAGCAAACGGG